rnacentral:sRNA from 1 species
GCUAGGCACAGUGGUGUAUGCCUGUAAUCACAGUGGCUUAGAGGCUGAGGCAGGAGGAUCAUGAGUUCAAAAUCCAGCCUCUGCAAAAGUGAGGUGCUAAGCAAAUCAGUGAGACCUUGUCUCUA